rnacentral:guide_RNA from 1 species
AAAAUCAAUCAAUAGCAGAUUACAGUGGUAUAGAUAUGAGAAUUAUAGU